GAAUGCUGACAUAAGUAACGAUAAAGCGGGUGAAAAGCCCGCUCGCCGGAAGACCAAGGGUUCCUGUCCAACGUUAAUCGGGGCAGGGUGAGUCGACCCCUAAGGCGAGGCCGAAAGGCGUAGUCGAUGGGAAACGGGUUAAUAUUCCCGUACUUGGUGUUACUGCGAAGGGGGGACGGAGAAGGCUAUGUUGGCCGGGCGACGGUUGUCCCGGUUUAAGCGUGUAGGUGUGUGUUCCAGGUAAAUCCGGUUCACUUUAACACUGAGGCGUGACGACGAGGCACUACGGUGCUGAAGCAACAAAUGCCCUGCUUCCAGGAAAAGCCUCUAAGCAUCAGGUAACAUCAAAUCGUACCCCAAACCGACACAGGUGGUCAGGUAGAGAAUACCAAGGCGCUUGAGAGAACUCGGGUGAAGGAACUAGGCAAAAUGGUGCCGUAACUUCGGGAGAAGGCACGCUGACACGUAGGUGAAGUGAUUUACUCAUGGAGCUGAAGUCAGUCGAAGAUACCAGCUGGCUGCAACUGUUUAUUAAAAACACAGCACUGUGCAAACACGAAAGUGGACGUAUACGGUGUGACGCCUGCCCGGUGCCGGAAGGUUAAUUGAUGGGGUCAGCGCAAGCGAAGCUCCUGAUCGAAGCCCCGGUAAACGGCGGCCGUAACUAUAACGGUCCUAAGGUAGCGAAAUUCCUUGUCGGGUAAGUUCCGACCUGCACGAAUGGCGUAAUGAUGGCCAGGCUGUCUCCACCCGAGACUCAGUGAAAUUGAACUCGCUGUGAAGAUGCAGUGUACCCGCGGCAAGACGGAAAGACCCCGUGAACCUUUACUAUAGCUUGACACUGAACAUUGAGCCUUGAUGUGUAGGAUAGGUGGGAGGCUUUGAAGUGUGGACGCCAGUCUGCAUGGAGCCGACCUUGAAAUACCACCCUUUAAUGUUUGAUGUUCUAACGUGGACCCGUAAUCCGGGUUGCGGACAGUGUCUGGUGGGUAGUUUGACUGGGGCGGUCUCCUCCUAAAGAGUAACGGAGGAGCACGAAGGUUGGCUAAUCCUGGUCGGACAUCAGGAGGUUAGUGCAAUGGCAUAAGCCAGCUUGACUGCGAGCGUGACGGCGCGAGCAGGUGCGAAAGCAGGUCAUAGUGAUCCGGUGGUUCUGAAUGGAAGGGCCAUCGCUCAACGGAUAAAAGGUACUCCGGGGAUAACAGGCUGAUACCGCCCAAGAGUUCAUAUCGACGGCGGUGUUUGGCACCUCGAUGUCGGCUCAUCACAUCCUGGGGCUGAAGUAGGUCCCAAGGGUAUGGCUGUUCGCCAUUUAAAGUGGUACGCGAGCUGGGUUUAGAACGUCGUGAGACAGUUCGGUCCCUAUCUGCCGUGGGCGCUGGAGAACUGAGGGGGGCUGCUCCUAGUACGAGAGGACCGGAGUGGACGCAUCACUGGUGUUCGGGUUGUCAUGCCAAUGGCACUGCCCGGUAGCUAAAUGCGGAAGAGAUAAGUGCUGAAAGCAUCUAAGCACGAAACUUGCCCCGA
rnacentral:rRNA from 9 species